AGCUUCAAUAGCGUAUAUUUAAGUUGUUGCAGUUAAAAGCUCGUAGUUGGAUUUCGGCUUUGGGCAACCGGUCCGCCGUUUCGGUGUGCACUGGUCGGCCUUUGCUUUCUGUCGGGGACGCGCUCUCCUUAAUUGGUGACGCGGAGUCGGCGCUGUUACUUUGAAAAAUUAGAGUGUUCAAGGCAGGCUUACGCUCUGAAUACUAUAGCAUGGAAUAACACGAUAGGACUCCGAGCCUAUUUUGUUGGUCUUCGGGACCGGAGUAAUGAUUAAGAGGGACAGUUGGGGGCAUUCGUAUUCCGAUGUCAGAGGUGAAAUUCUUGGAUUUUCGGAAGACGAACUUCUGCGAAAGCAUUUGCCAAGGAUGUUUUCACUGAUCAAGACGAAAGUUAGG
rnacentral:rRNA from 1 species